CCCGGAGCGAUGGGGGAGCGGCGGGCGCUCUCAGCGCGUGGAAAUGGACGGCGGAGCCCAACGUCGCGGGUAGAAAUGGCCGCCCCCCUCCGCCGGGAGAUGGCCGGGAGGGGGGGGGACCGUGCUCCGCAACGACUGCAAGCGUGGUCCCGCUAUUAACCGUGAUGAAUUGCCCUCAAAGAGCGAGUUGUGAAAGAGAGAAGUCCAGGCAGGUGUCCGCGAUAAGGAGACAUUAAAAUGCUUCGUCUGUAAACUCGCUUGUCCCACGGAGGGGAACCAGUGGGUUUUCAGGCUGUGCCCACCGAGAAUGGGCUGAGCGCAUUCGUUCGCCUGGCUGUAAGUGCACAGGGGUGGCUCGGAGCUGUACAGACUCACACAACUGGAUGAUCUCGCAGGGGCUGUCGUGGCCGAAUGCCACAGACUCGACUGUCCCGUGCUGCAGAGAAGCGUGCGUUGGGAUCCGGCAGUCCUGUGGAAAUUCAGGUUCACUGAGCUCAAAAGAAACGCGGAGCCACAAAUGUAUGAGCCGGGUUACACCCACGGCUGCCGGCGGGGCUGGGGAUGCAGUGCUGUAUUCCACACAUACCCAUCAGAACGAGGGCCCGAGCUGCUGAGGGAAAAGCUCAGAAGCUGUUGAAUCCCAUUUAUUAUCAAUUUUAUGAUGAUUUUUCUCUCGCUAUUUUGCUGCCUUGUUUGGUUAUUGAUGAAUUCCAGAACGGUUUCUUCUUGUUUUGCCUCUGUGUUUUACGCUUUGGGAUGGGUGAGGGUAAAAUGAGCAUCAGUGGCUCUAUAAAGAGUUCCUUGAGCCUCGUGCUCCCUUUGAAAUCCCAAAUGGAAGGUUGUCCUGCCACGGGGCUGUGGAAUUACCCCACAGAUGGGGAGGAUGGGGAAAAAGCAGCAGUAAGGCCAUCGUGUACGUGGCAUUGCAAGAGAGUAAAGAGAGACCUUACAGAAAUAUACAGCAGGGCUCUGUGGGAACGUGGAGGUUCAGACUGCAGCCUGGCCCUGUGCUUCACUGCAUUGGCUUCCCCCACUUCAGCGUGUGUGCACACAGAGUCCUGUGUCUGUUGUUUCCUCCCAGUGCUUUAGGAUGCCAGUGACUCUUGUUUGUGAAACAAAAGGGCAGCUCAAGAGGGAAAAAAAAAACCUGACACUGUGUUAAUUUUCGCAGGUUUGUGUUUACAGUGUAUAGUAAUAAUACCUUGCAUUUGUGUAGCACUUGCCGUUUGGCAAUCAGAAUGAGCACUGUGCCCGUGCUGAAGUGAAUUUCGCCAUUGCUCAGAGACGUGUGGAUGUGUUAUCCUCCUUUUACAGCUAUUUUAAAACACCACCAGGAGGGCUUAGAUUGCUGCUGUACAGCACAAACUACAACAGACGCGGUAUAAAGGGUGGGCAGACUACCUGCUGCAAUGGUUUAUAUGUUUUGCAGUGUAUUUGUGGUGGGACAGCAGAAGCUGUGAAUUUAAAAGGCCGAGCACAUUCACAUUCAUGAGUGAUAAAAGAGCUCUGGAGGUGGAAGUGAGGCACGAUUCCUUCCUCAUCUCCAUUCAUCUACAUGCUGAUGAUCUGCACGUCUUUCAUCUUCAGACACGCAGGACCCGAUCUGAGAAGAUCUGCCCCAAUGUGGAAAAUGUAUUGUAAUGUCUUUUUCUCUGAUGAGCGGCUUAUAAACGUUUGAGCUGAGAUUUCAGCAAUCAGAGCUAUACCUUCCGCCUUCGUUUCCUGUUUAACCUUGUUUCUCAGGUCUUCACUUCAAUCAUGCAAUUACCGCUUAUGCAUUUUUAGGAGAGCUUCAUUAAAACUGUGCCCUUGCAUUGGUUUCAGCAGCACCGGCAUUCAGUUGUGCAGCACUUGCAGGUUAGAUUGCAGUAGCUGGUUUAUUCUCAUCCUUUAAAGACUGCCUUUUUUCCCACUGUCCCUGUGGAAAAGCGAGCAAUUUAAUACAAUGAUUCCUUCCAAAACGUUUUAGGUCACAUCGUUGGUUGGUGCAUAUUGGCAUUAUGAGAUGAAAAUCGAUGGAGCUGUGGCACUCUAUGCAGUUCGGGAUUCCAGGGCUUUAAUUCCCUCCGUUUCAAGAGAUGCGAUACUGAAAUCAGUCCAAGUAAUAGUUGAAAUGAUUGGAGUGGAAGCUUGCACAGAUGAUGAGCCAGGUGCUAAGAAAUGCCAGCUCAGAAAACACUCAGGGCACUGUUAGACCUGGGGAAGGUGUUAGGAGGAGCAGCCGCCCAUUACCAACUUCUUACCCUUUUUCCCAAACAAUGUGGUGUUGCUGUUAGGUGCUGUGCUUGACUGGACCUCACUUUGGGAGACGGUAAUAACAGGUUUUGUAUUCUGGUUCAAAGCAGCCCCCGCGUUUGCUGUAAGCCUACGGAUGCUAACUGCUUUGAUCACUGGGGUUUCUAAUAGCAAAACGUUCUUGUUAUUCAGCUUCGUUUGUGUAGGAGUCUCACUGCAUAAGGGCUGAGGCAGCAAGGAAAUCAGAUACUUCUGUAUGUCUGUGCACGGGAUUUAAAAACAUGGGGAAAAGUAUUUCAAAGUGUCCUAAAUCCCAAAGUGUAAGGCAUGUAUUGUUACAGAUGAUAGUAGGUUUCCUGCGGUGAAUGCAACUGCUGUGGCUGAUAGAAAGAAAAUUGGUGGCAUGAAAACUGCUGUAGCCAUUGGACGUUCUCUCCAAAUGGGCUUUAAGUGCAUGUUCUUGUUUAUUGCUCUCCUGCUGGGAUGAGGACCUGCAACCAUCUCUGUUACCAAUUCGUCUGCCCUGUAAGGACCUCAUUUUUCAGUCUGGG
ensembl:lncRNA